GGGGCCGACCUGGCUUCGACGUGGGUGCGGAGUCGGUUCAGGGCAUGCCGAGCACCAGUUCGCUCGUAAAACCACUGGAAACAAAGUAACUGCGAACGACGAACGUUUCGCCCUCGCCGCUUAAACACCGGUGAGCUUCGCAACGGUUGGCCGAUGGGCCGGGCCGGAUGCCCCGAGCGAUCGGGGCAAACGGCUGCGAAGUCAUUCACAUCGGCUGGUGCUCCGCUGCGUCAUUCAGCGGGGGACGAGAACCAAGUGACUGGUGGAACCGGCAGCGUGCUGCUGCGCGGCCGGCGCCACGAGACCCAAAUCAGACAGCUAAGCAUGUAGAACUGGCCGGUGAUGGCUUGCGGACGGGGGUUCGAUUCCCCCCGGCUCCACCA
rnacentral:tmRNA from 1 species